GACAGAGGUGCCAAGCGUUAGGCGGAAUCACUGGGCUUAAAGCGUGUGUAGGCGGGCCCGUAAGUGUCUUGUGAAAUCCCACGGCUCAACCGUGGAACUGCUGGGCAUACUGCGGGUCUUGGGCCAACUAGGGGCAGCCGGAACAAGCGGUGGAGCGGUGAAAUGCGUAGAUAUCGCGUGGAACGCCGAAGGUGAAAACAGGCUGCUGGGGUUGCGCCGACGCUGAGACACGAAAGCCAGGGGAGCAAACGGG
rnacentral:rRNA from 1 species